UACGUAGGGGGCAAGCGUUGUCCGGAAUUAUUGGGCGUAAAGAGCGUGUAGGCGGUCCGGUAAGUCAGCUGUGAAAGUCAAGGGCUCAACCCUUGAAUGCCGGUUGAUACUGUCGGGCUAGAGUCCGGAAGAGGCGAGUGGAAUUCCCGGUGUAGCGGUGAAAUGCGCAGAUAUCGGGAGGAACACCAAUGGCGAAGGCAGCUUGCUGGGACGGUACUGACGCUGAGACGCGAAAGCGUGGGGAGCAAACAGG
rnacentral:rRNA from 1 species